rnacentral:rRNA from 1 species
UACGGAGGGUGCAAGUGUUAUCCGGAUUCACUGGGUUUAAAGGGUGCGUAGGCGGGUUGGUAAGUCCGUGGUGAAAUCCCCAAGCUUAACUUGGGAACUGCCGUGGAUACUAUCAAUCUUGAAUAUCGUGGAGGUAAGCGGAACAUGUCAUGUAGCGGUGAAAUGCUUAGAUAUGACAUAGAACACCAAUUGCGAAGGCAGCUUACUACACGAUCAUUGACGCUGAGGCACGAAAGCGUGGGGAGCAAACAGG